CCUCGAUGGCUGGGAGUGGCUGGAUCUCGGCGAAGGUCGUCACUGUCGUGGGCAGCUGGAUUUCCUUGGGGAUCAGCAUAAAAUGGAAGAAAUAAACAUCCCUACUCACCUUUUGGGAAAACCAAUAGGAUCACACAUGAGAGUAAAGCGUUGCACUUCUGAAAAUACAAAUAUUAACCCUCCCAUUGACCUGAGGUUUUCCAAAAUGAUACCUUCUACCUGUAUUCUCAGCAGUUUAUUCUUCCUUUCUGUCUCUUCCAUGAAGGCACUUAAAUAAUUUAUUCAUUUUAAGCAAUCUAUGAAUGUCAAAACUUCAAUGACUUCUAGUUUCUUUAUUCAUCUGCCUGGACCUGAAGAAAUUAGAGCUUUCUACAACAGCUUGCCCUCACUAGGAAGUACACUUAAAUCAAGUCUGACCAUCAAAAGUGUGUGUGUGAUUUACAAUUUUUGUAUCCAUAUUAAAUGUCAGUUGAAUAACGUAUGUGGUUUAUCACACCCUCAAGCUUGCUUAGAGUUGGAUCAACAACAUAUAAACAACUAAAAUUCUUAUUUUUAUUUUGCUGAAUUAGAAAAUCUGAACUCUUAUUUUCUGUUGUGUGAUUUAUUAGUGUGUCCAAAACUUGCAGUUCUAGGGCAUUGAAGUAAUCAAAUAUACUCUCCAAAAGUUAACAAAUGUGUUUUAUUAAAAAUGGUCUUCAUUAUUGAACA